rnacentral:tRNA from 2 species
GCAUCCUUAGCUCAGUGGUAGAGCGUUCCGUUCACAUCGGAAAGGCCGAAGGUUCGAUCCCUUCAGGAUGCA